rnacentral:rRNA from 1 species
CACGUAGUUAGCCGGGGCUUCUUAGUCAGGUACCGUCAUUAUCUUCCCUGCUGAUAGAGCUUUACAUACCGAAAUACUUCUUCACUCACGCGGCGUCGCUGCAUCAGGGUUUCCCCCAUUGUGCAAUAUUCCCCACUGCUGCCUCCCGUAGGAGUCUGGGCCGUGUCUCAGUCCCAAUGUGGCCGUUCACUCUCUCAAGCCGGCUACUGAUCGUCGCCUUGGUAGGCCGUUACCCCACCAACAAGCUAAUCAGACGCGGGUCCAUCUCACAGCGAUAAAUCUUUGAAAGGAUCGUCAUGCGGCAAUCCCUUGUUAUGCGGUAUUAGCAGCCGUUUCCGGCUGUUGUCCCCCUCUGUGAGGCAGGUUACCCACGCGUUACUCACCCGUCCGCCACUCAGUCAUUACCAUCUUCCCUCCGAAAAGUUCCGUCGGUAGCGCUUCGUUCGACUUGCAUGUGUUAAGCACGCCGCCAGCGUUCAUCCUGAGCCAGGAUCAAACU